rnacentral:rRNA from 1 species
CCUACGGGGUGCAGCAGUGAGGAAUAUUGGUCAAUGGGCGAGAGCCUGAACCAGCCAAGUAGCGUGAAGGAUGACUGCCCUACGGGUUGUAAACUUCUUUUAUAGAGGAGUAAAGUGAGGUACGUGUGCCUUUUUGUAUGUACUUUAUGAUUAAAGAUAGGGUAACUCCGUGCCAGCAGCAGCGGUAAUACGGAGGAUCCGGGCGUUAUCCGGAUUUAUUGGGGUUAAAGGGAGCGUAGAUGGGGUGUUAAGUCAGGUGUGAAAAGUGGCGGCUCAACCGUAAAAUUGCAAUGGAUACUGGCAGGCUGGAGUACAGUGGAGGUAGGCGGAAUUCGUGGUGUAGCGGUGAAAUGCGUAGAUAUCACGAAGAACGCCAAUUGCGAAGGCAGCCUACUAAACUGCCACUGACAUUGAUGCUCGAAAGUGUGGGUAGCAAACAGGAUUAGAUACCCCGGUAGUC